GGACUCGAAGGUCAGGGCAGAGCGCUCCAGUGCAUGGAGGGGUCGCAGGUUCAAAUCCUGCCACGGCCA
rnacentral:tRNA from 1 species